UACGUAGGGACCAAGCGUUGUUCGGAUUUACUGGGCGUAAAGGGCGCGUAGGCGGCGUGACAAGUCACUUGUGAAAUCUCCGGGCUUAACUCGGAACGGUCAAGUGAUACUGUCGUGCUAGAGUGCAGAAGGGGCAAUCGGAAUUCUUGGUGUGGCGGUGAAAUGCGUAGAUAUCAAGAGGAACACCUGAGGUGAAGACGGGUUGCUGGGCUGACACUGACGCUGAGGCGCGAAAGCUAGGGGGAGCAAACGGGG
rnacentral:rRNA from 1 species